UACGAAGGGUCCAAGCGUUAUCCGGAUUCAUUGGGUUUAAAGGGUGCGCAGGCGGGGCCUUAAGUCAGGGGUGAAAUCCUGGAGCUCAACUCCAGAACUGCCUUUGAUACUGAGGAUCUUGAGUUCGGGAGAGGUGUGUGGAACUCCGAGUGUAGAGGUGAAAUUCGUAGAUAUUCGGAAGAACACCAGUGGCGAAGGCGACACACUGGCCCGUUACUGACGCUGAGGCGCGAAAGCGUGGGGAGCAAACAGG
rnacentral:rRNA from 1 species